rnacentral:lncRNA from 1 species
UUAUCAUGGACGCUGUGAAAACUUGUAAUAAUUUAAGCUAGAGUUCACAAAAAAUAUGCUAGUCAGAGGUACUCAUAAGAUAACUAUAUUUUCUCUUUAUUCAACAGCUGUUACUGGAGCACUUGGAGUGCCUUGUGUCACGUCAUGAAAGGUCACUAAGAAUGACAGUGGUGAAGCGGCAAGCCCAGUCUCCCUCAGGAGUGUCCAGUGAAGUGGAGGUCCUCAAGGCAUUGAAAUCCUUGUUUGAACACCACAAGGCCUUGGAUGAAAAGGUAAGGGAGCGACUGAGGGUUUCUUUAGAGAGAGUCUCUGCACUGGAAGAGGAACUAGCUUCAGCUAAUCAGGAGGUAACACACCGAACUUGCCUCUUCGGAGGUGCACUAUUGCUCACAUGCUGGCCCUUGCAUUACACGUUGCUUUUGUUAAUUCUGUCACAAAAUCAAUUACUUUCUUUCUGUCUGUGCUGCUGAAUGACACUCAUGGAAAUGAGUUGCCAGAGGCCUCUGUUCUGGUUUCUGCCCGUCCAAAUCUGUCACCAGGAAACCAAAGAAAAGCCACCAAGGGUUAGGGAGAUGGCUAUUACAAAAACAAAACAAAACAAACAAACAAACAAACAAAAAACAGUCCGAGAAAUAAGUAAAACACAAGCCUGAAACUGGGAUUUCUGUCAAGUUCCUCUUAAACUUUGAAAUGCUAGAAAUGAAAUAAAUACCCCCGGAUGGGCGCAUGCAUCCAUUUCCCCUCCAACUUCACCCUAUUUUGUUUCUGACAGUAUUGUGCCCAUGUCUAGCGUUUAUUAGCAUCUUUGAGAAGAUCAAAGACAUCAUGUAAAGUCAUGGAUUAAGAUUUAAAGAACUGGGACCCUAUCAGGCCCCGACCUCUUCAGACCUUGUGCAUGCUGCCACAGCCCCUGUGAGUUCCGCUGUGUUUAGAAAGCCUUGUUUUCCUGGAGUUCUCCCAGAAGCUAUUUCCAAUUGAUAACUGCUUGCAAAUGAAAAGAUUAGUUUUCUCAGAUGGAGUCUCAUUGACUAUACAAAUUCUUAGGGCCGAGACCCAUGCCCAACAGUAGAUGGCCAACACAAAAUGAACUAAAUGGUAUUUUGGAAGGGACUUUUGUUUCAUAAUGCUUUUUCUAGGCAUUUCUUUUUCUUUUUCUUUUCUAACCCAAUAGGUUGUUUGCUCAUAUGUUUACUAUUUUGUGUCUUUAUGAGAGUUCCCUGUGAGUAACUCUUAGCCUUUAUAUAUUUCUUGUGUUUUUUUCCUUGCCCCUUUGCUUUUUUGUACAUUUGUUUGUUGUUUAUUUUUUUAUUUCUUGUCUUUUUAUUUUUUAGAUGCUGUUUUAGGUUUGUUUUGUUUUGAAGAGAGAAAGCCAGAAAGAAUAAAAAUUUGAAUGGGUAGGGAGAUGGGGAGGCUCUGGGGGGAACUGUGGGAGGGGCAACCAUUGCAGAGUAAAUUGUAUGAAAAAACUACUUUCAAUAAUAAAAAAGAAC